CGGGUCGCAGCAGUAAGGAAUAUUGGUCAAUGGAGGCAACUCUGAACCAGCCAUGCCGCGUGCAGGAAGAAGGCCCUAUGGGUCGUAAACUGCUUUUGUACCAGAGAAAACCCGAGUACGUGUACUCGGUUGAUAGUAUGGUAAGAAUAAGCAUCGGCUAACUUCGUGCCAGCAGCCGCGGUAAGACGAAGGAUGCAAGCGUUAUCCGGAUUCAUUGGGUUUAAAGGGUGCGUAGGCGGACUGAUAAGUCAGUGGUGAAAUCUCUCAGCUUAACUGAGAAACUGCCAUUGAUACUGUUAGUCUAGAGUAUAGAUGACGUUGGCGGAAUAUGACAUGUAGUGGUGAAAUACUUAGAUAUGUCAUAGAACACCGAUUGCGAAGGCAGCUAACGAAACUAUAACUGACGCUGAGGCACGAAAGUGCGGGGAUCAAACAGGAUUAGAUACCCCUGU
rnacentral:rRNA from 1 species